ensembl:lncRNA
AGAGCUCACAAAAAGCACGCGCAUUUUUUGCGGUCCAGAGCCGUAGGAGAAACACAAGUUAACUCAGAGAUACAGACUGAUGCGACAAAACCAUCUCAGAUCAGCACAGCCCUGCCCUCCAGCACGAUCAGCAGCAGGAGCAGCAGAAACCCCUCAACAGCAACAUUGUACCCAUCAGCAACAUGAGGCAGCUCGUGUAUCGGAUGUUACCAAACGAAGGCGUCUAGCCUGGAUAGCAGCUGUGAGACGAGCUGAUGUGCAGUUCGCUUCCAUCUCCAAAUAUCUGUUGGUGCUCCAGACAUUUUCAUUCCGCAAACCAGCCUAUGAAAUGGAU